UGGUUUUUGUCUCUCAGUCUGUUUAUGUGGUGGAUUUACAUUUCUCGAUUUGCAUAUGUUGAACAAUCUCACAUCUCUGGGAUGAAGCCAACUUAAUGAUGGUGGAUAAUCUUUUUGCAAAAGAAGGCUGGCUAACACAGCUGACGUAUACGGAUCAAUGCGAAGGUGGAGACACUCUGCAUAUACUGCUUGCUUGGAUUUAUUGCAAAAGCAUUCCAAGCAUUUCUUGUCAAUUCUGACUGAAAUGAAUUCCAAGGACUUCCUGGAUCAGCCUCAUUAACGAAGCAAAGAAGUUCGAGUUUCCCUUGACUUUCCAAAGGAACAAAGAGUAUGAAGACUGCUGCAGGCACUUUCAGAUCCUUUGGUACACUGAGCACAAGCUUUCUGGAUGUGUGAAGAGAAGAUGGCCCAUGAAGCACCUUAUGAGACCCCAGCAUCUCAACAACCUCUGCCCAAACACUGAUGGGACAGCCAGAUGAAGAUCUCAUUCAGGAGGUUGAAACUGGAAAAGAUGAAGUUUGAAGUGCAAGUUUCUGGUUUCUUUGAAGACUCAGUUGAGGCGUGUGAUGUUUUGCUAGAAACUGUCUUGUGAGAAGAGAUGUGAUGUUUUGCUGUGAGCUUCUUGUGAGAGAGGUGUGAAUCUAUUCAGCUGAGAACAUCUGUGGGUGGGCUCUGAGGAGAGGCAACAUAUUAGAAGCCCAUGACAGUAAGACAUCACUUUUUGGAUCAACAUCACCGCACUGAUCUUAGUGCUUUGAAACCUGACUUCGUAGAGAGAAAGGUUCCAGAGAACUUCUUGGGGCAAUUCAAGAAUCUUGUAGCUUUUGCUGAUUUUUCCCGAUCUUCUGAAUCAUGCUGAUUUGUGUUGCUGUUUGGUGUUGGCCUUUGGACUGAACUGCUGGCCUCCGGACAAUGAAGAGUGGACUCCUCCCAAAGAACUGUGUCUAAAAUGUCUACGCUCCCCUUUACCUAAUAACCUCCCUUCUUCUCUUUCUCUGGUUAGUGGGUGGAAGGGAGGUAGAAGCACUUAAGAACCCUAAAUAAAGAAG